AUGGAGGACGUGGCCGAGGACGAGCCGGCGCCACCCUCUCCGGCACAUUGCACCAUGACCAUCGGUGAGACCUGUGCCGAUUAUAUGGACAUGGUGCGGGAUGAGCGGGAGGAGAAGUUCCGGGAGUCACAAGCUGACGCGGCCUACAACCACCAACUCCUUCAGGAGCACCAGCAGACGGAGGAGCAGCUUGAUGCUUGCAGGCCGAGGCGUCUACAACCCCCAACUACUUUAGGAGCACCAGUAGACGGGGGAGCAUCUCAACGCCGGCAGGGCGAUCGCGUCGAACGCGGAUGUGGCGGAGUAGGCGGUGCUGCUCGAGUCCUACCACUCCGCCCCUAA
rnacentral:rRNA from 1 species